rfam:Picea glauca, whole genome shotgun sequence.
AUGUAAAUUCCUACAACAUAGAGUUGUUGAAUCCCAUUAGAAUUGUAUAGUUAAACACACUCGGGCUAGAGUAGUACUGGGAUGGAUGACCGCCCGAAAAGUCAUAGUAUUUUACAUG